rnacentral:rRNA from 1 species
GCGGCGUGCUUAACACAUGCAAGUCGAACGAACCUUCGGGUUAGUGGCGGACGGGUGAGUAACGCGUGGGAAUCUGCCCUCAGGAGGGGGAUAACGGUUGGAAACGACCGCUAAUACCCCAUAUGCCGAGAGGUGAAAUGAAUUUCGCCUGAGGAUGAGCCCGCGUCUGAUUAGCUUGUUGGUGAGGUAAUGGCUCACCAAGGCAUCGAUCAGUAGCUGGUCUGAGAGGAUGAUCAGCCACACUGGGACUGAGACACGGCCCAGACUCCUACGGGAGGCAGCAGUGGGGAAUUUUCCGCAAUGGGCGAAAGCCUGACGGAGCAACGCCGCGUGAGGGACGAAGGCCUCUGGGCUGUAAACCUCUUUUCUCAAGGAAGAAGAUAUGACGGUACUUGAGGAAUAAGCCACGGCUAAUUCCGUGCCAGCAGCCGCGGUAAUACGGGAGUGGCAAGCGUUAUCCGGAAUUAUUGGGCGUAAAGCGUCCGCAGGCGGCCUUUCAAGUCUGCUGUUAAAGCGUGGAGCUCAACUCCAUCAUGGCAGUGGAAACUGAUUGGCUUGAGUAUGGUAGGGGCAGAGGGAAUUCCCGGUGUAGCGGUGAAAUGCGUAGAUAUCGGGAAGAACACCAGUGGCGAAGGCGCUCUGCUGGGCCAUUACUGACGCUCAUGGACGAAAGCCAGGGGAGCGAAAGGGAUUAGAUACCCCUGUAGUCCUGGCCGUAAACGAUGAACACUAGGUGUCGGGGGAAUCGACCCCUUCGGUGUCGUANCUNACGCGUUAAGUGU